AUGAUGACUCUCGGCAACGGAUAUCUCGGCUCUCGCAUCGAUGAAGAACGUAGCGAAAUGCGAUACCUGGUGUGAAUUGCAGAAUCCCGUGAGCCAUCGAGUCUUUGAACGCAAGUUGCACCCGAGGCCACCCGAUCGAGGGCACGCCUGCCUGGGCGUCACUC
rnacentral:rRNA from 1 species